AGUAUAUCCUGCAUGCUAUCUAUCAGGGGCUUCCCUGGUGGCUCAGUGGUAAAGAAUCCACCUGCCAAUGCAGGAGACACGGGUUCAAUCCCUGGGUUGGGAAGAUGCCCUGGAGAAGGAAAUGACUACACACUCCAGAAUUCUUGCCCGGAGAAUCCAACGGACAGAGGAGCCUGGCGGGUUACUAAAUCAUGACUUAGUCGGACACAGCUUAGCGACUAAACAACAAAUGGAUAUACCACGUUUUGUUUAUUCAUUCAUCAGCUGGUGGACAUUUGUUCCUACUUUUUGUUCUGUUGUGAAUAGUGUUACUAUGAACAUUUGUGUACAAGUUUUCAUCUGAACAUCUGUUUUCAAUUCUUUUGAGUAUAUACCUAAGAGUGGACUUGCUGGGUCAUGCGGUAAUUCCAUGUUUAAUUUAUUGAGGAACCGUCAGCUCAGCAGUUUUUAAAGCAUCCAUGACCUCGGGAAAUCCUCAAAACAAGCUAAUGAGGGAGGCUGUGCCUUGCCCCCAUUCUGCAGAGGAGGAAACUGAGGCUCACAAAGUGGAAUUCAUGAGUCAACUUCACACUGAUGAGAACUGAUGAAACUGGGAGAGAGAAGGAGAGGGAGGCCAGGGCUGCCUCUGGUCCAUCUACAGAGGAAGCUGAGGAAAGCGGUUAAAGGUGGCAUUUCUCUGUUGGACUUGCUAGAAUGUCGUUCCCCCUUGAUUCUUCCUGGCUGUGUGUCUUAGGGCAAGCUGACUCACCUCUCUGGGCCUCUGUUUCUCCAUUCAGGGGUGUUUAGGGCAGAAAUUCCCUCAGAUGGUAGCUAUAAGGAUGGGAGAAGCCUACCCCUGCUGUUAUCAUUAGGAAUGUUGUGAUGCUCAUGGCUUUUCAGGCACAAGGGGAAGAGAUUUCUCCAGGCCUGAGAUCUCAUGCUUUUGGUUUGAGUGAGGCUGGGGGGUGCAGAAGGGAGUCGGGGACUCCCAGAAUCUCCUCUCCAGAGAGGCUCGGGGGGCAACGGGCCCCGAGGCUGGAAGGGCUGGGCCCAGGACGGGAAGCGGCGUCCACCUUCAAGUCCCACACCCGCAGUGACGCUGGAU
ensembl:lncRNA